CAAACGACUCUCGGCAACGGAUAUCUCUGCUCACGCAUCGAUGAAGAACGYAGCAAAAUGCGAUACUUGGUGUGAAUUGCAGAAUCCCGUGAACCAUCGAGUUUUUGAACGCAAGUUGCGCCCGAAGCCAUUUGGCCGAGGGCACGUCUGCCUGGGCGUCACGC
rnacentral:rRNA from 1 species